rnacentral:rRNA from 1 species
AACGAACGCUGGCGGCAUGCCUAACACAUGCAAGUCGAACGAGAACUUCGGGCCUAGUGGCGCACGGGUACGUAACGAGUGGGAACUUACACUUAGGUAACGAAUCACUUCCCGAAGGGGGUGUUCAUACCGGUUAAUCUCAUCGGACCUAAGAGUUAUGGCCUUUGGAUGGGCCCGCGUUAGUUUAGGUAGUUGGUAGGGUAAUAGCCUAUCAUGGGGUCGAUGCUUAGCUGGUCUGUGAGGAAGAUCAGCCACACUGGGACUGAGGCACGGCCCAGACUCGUACGGGAGGCAGCAGUAGAGAAUAUUAGACGAGGGGCGAAGGUCUGAUACAGCAGUGCCGCGGGAGUGAGGAAUGGCUUAGGAUUGUAAAUCUCUUUUAGCCGGGAUGAGAAUGACAGUACCGGGUAAAGAAGCACCGGCUAACUCCGUG